rnacentral:antisense_RNA from 1 species
CUUCUACUCCUUUUGCUAUGCAAGAACACAGCGUUUGUCCAUUUCACAAUGUGAGGAUACAGCAAGAAGUGCCAUCUUGGAAGCAGAGAGCAAACACUCAUCAGACAUUAAAUCUGACAGCACCUUGAUCUUGGACUUCCCAGCCUCUAGAACUUGUAUGCAAUGGUAUGAGGAACUGUUCCACAUUAAAGGAGACUAAGAAGACAUAACAACUCGAUGCAAUGUGUGAUUCUGGACUGGAUCUUGCAUUGGAGGAGAAAAUGCUAUAAAAGUGUCUUGCUCUUUCACCCAGGCUGGAGUGCAGUGGCGCCAUCUCAGCUCACUGCAACCUCCGCCUCCCGGAUUCAAGCGAUUAUCCUGCCUCAGUCUCCUGAGUAGCUGAGAUUACAGACACGUGCCACCAUGCCCAGCAUAUAUAUAUAUAUAUAUAUAUAUAUAUAUAUAUAUGUAUAUUUGUAGAGAUGGGGUUUCACCAUGUUGGCCAGGCUGGUCUCCUGACCUUGUGAUCUGCCCACCUUGGCCUUUUUUUCUCUAUGUUUCUCUGACUCAACCUUUGACACUUAGAAGGUAGCACACUUCCAACAUAUCCUUCCCUCUUCCAAGAUAUAGUCCAUACAACUUUCCAUAGUUUGAAUGCUUAUCCCCCAAACCUCAUGUUGAAAUUUGAUCCCCAAUGUUGGAAGUGGGGCCCGAUGGGAGGAAUUUGGGUCAUGGAGGUGGAUCCCUCAUGAAUGACUUGAUGUCUUCCUUGUGGUAAUGAGUGAGUUCUUGCUCCAUUAGUUCCUGAGAAAGCUGGUUGUUUAAAAACAAAAACAAAAACCUGUAUGCUCCCUUCCCUCUCUCUUUCUUGUCAUUUGGUCUCUGCACAUGCCAGCUCCCCUUCUCCUUCUGCCAUAAGUGGAAUUAACCUAAAGCCCUCACCAGAAGCAGACGCUGGCACUGUGCUUCCUGUGCAGUCUGCAGAACCGUAAACCAAAUAAAUCUCCUUUCUUUAUAAAUU